GCCCCCGUAGCUCAGUGGAUAGAGAAACGGUUUCCUAAACCGCAGGUCGCAUGUUCGAUUCAUGCCGGGGGCGCCA
rnacentral:tRNA from 1 species